CUUACUGCAGUAAGAUAUAUGUGGUCAUUGGGAUUGAAUUGAACACUUUUAUUGUUGUACAAAAUGCAGUCCACAAAUAACCACUUACAGUUGAAGAGAUAACCACUUACUGCACCGAAAAAGGUGGUUGUCAACACCCAAUUUCGUCCGGGUGACUGAAUAAUAGGAUUUAGUUUUUGUUUUUGUCUUAUUUUCAAUUUUGUUUUCAUUUUCAUUUUAUUUUAUUUUUUUAGUUUUUUGGUAUUUGAUUUAGCUUUCUUAUUAUUAUUAGAUUUGAUUUUAUUUCCUAUUUGAAAAAAAUAUAUAUAAAAAAAAUAUAAAAAAGAAAGAAAAAAGAAAGGAAACGUCAAAAAAACGAGAGAAAAAAAAGAGAAAGAAAAAAUGAAAAUAGUUUGGAAUGCUAAUUUUGUCGUAUUGUGAAAACAAAAAAAGAAGUAAAAAGAGAAAUUUAUUCGGCCUGGAAAAAGGACAGUAGAGGCGGUUUUUGGGGUGGCAGAGAGGUUGCAAGACUGGCAAAGGUACGUGCUGGUUGGGGAGGAAAAAAAACGGUUUUGGCAGGCACAAUUAGGUUGUGGUGUGAAUGGCGGAGGCUGAAGAGGAAUAUGUAUUAUGGCCUACGCUUGCUAUUACGCUUGGUGUUUGCCAUGGUUCUGCACGUGUAUGAAUCGUUCCCACUCUCCCUUCUCAAUCACCAUCGUCUCAGGUUGCUAUUGCAACCUGCAUUCUUUGAAAACAUCAUCAUCAACUGUUUAGCCAAGCUCCCAAUUUCUCUUUCACUCGUUUAAGCCUCUCUCGAUCUUCAUCCCUAUCCCCAUUAUCCCACGCUCUGU
rnacentral:lncRNA from 1 species